UUUUUUUUUUUAAAUACAAACAAGUUUGGCCCGCAGCGGACAAAAAGUUUUUGUAUCGAAGUACUCAUAAAUACACUUCACUCAAGACGGGUCACUAAAUCGCAAAUUGCCGGCGCCUUAAAAUUGGCACGUUUCCAUCGUAUUAUUAAACAAAAAAUUAACUUCCGAUCUUACUUACUUAUAUGCGUUAAUAUAGACAGAGACUAUAUAUUCAUAUUUAACCGAAAAUCCACGUCUCUGGAUUUAAAAUUAUUUUCUGUUUUUCUGGGAUAACUCGAAAUAAGACAAACUCCCAAAUAAAUUACUUAAAUAAUAAGUGAAUGUUCUUAAACCAACCCCGCAGGUUCCUUAUAUAAAUAGAAGGAAAUUAAAUUUCUUUAAAUAAGAAAAAUUACUAGUUGAUCCCACUAUAUAUCUUUAUCAAUGGUAUCCCUAUUGUCCGAUUAAAAAAAUCUCUCAAGUUUAAUUAUUUUUUCCAAUCAUGGAGCUACAACCGAAUUUUAUAGGAUUCCCACGUCUUCAAGAACUCCCAACCAAACAAGUUGGUAAUUUUAAAAUGCACUAGACUCAAGUCUGGCCUGCGNAGGACAUAUUUUUU
rnacentral:rRNA from 1 species